rnacentral:rRNA from 1 species
CUUCGGAUGUUGAGACCGGCGCACGGGUGCGUAACGCGUAUGCAAUCUACCUUAUACUAAGGGAUAGCCCAGAGGAAUUUGGAUUAAUACCUUAUAGAUAAUAAAAAAGGCAUCUUUUUAAUUAUAAAGAUUUAUUGGUAUAAGAUGAGCAUGCGUCCCAUUAGUUAGUUGGUAAGGUAACGGCUUACCAAGACGAUGAUGGGUAGGGGUCCUGAGAGGGAGAUCCCCCACACUGGUACUGAGACACGGACCAGACUCCUACGGGAGGCAGCAGUGAGGAAUAUUGGUCAAUGGGCGCAAGCCUGAACCAGCCAUGCCGCGUGCAGGAUGACGCAUCUAUGGUGUGUAAACUGCUUUUGUACAGGAAGAAACAUCCCGACGAGUCGGGACUUGACGGUACUGUAAGAAUAAGGAUCGGCUAACUCCGUGCCAGCAGCCGCGGUAAUACGGAGGAUCCAAGCGUUAUCCGGAAUCAUUGGGUUUAAAGGGUCCGUAGGCGGCUUAAUAAGUCAGCGGUGAAAGUUUUUGGCUUAACCAAAAAAUUGCCAUUGAUACUGUUAGGCUUGAAUUUUUGUGAAGUAACUAGAAUAUGUAGUGUAGCGGUGAAAUGCUUAGAUAUUACAUGGAAUACCAAUUGCGAAGGCAGGUUACUAACAAACGAUUGACGCUGAUGGACGAAAGCGUGGGUAGCGAACAGGAUUAGAUACCCUGGUAGUCCACGCCGUAAACGAUGGAUACUAGCUGUUCGGAAGUAAUUCUGAGUGGC